GACAAGCAAAUCUAAGUAGAAUCACUGCCUAUUGGCUUGUCAAUGCAUCAACUAUUGACAGAUUUCAGGGAUUAUUCAAGGCAGAAAUGAAAUCUUUCUGAUCAUUAUUUUGGCAGUAUUUGGAUGGCUACUCAAACUCAGAAAGAAAAUAUAUCCCUGAGUAUUCCUGUUGUGAGGAAGAAGACAGUGUGAAGAAACUCCUGAAAAAUUAACACUGAAGGAGAUGAGGAUGUCACAACAAUGACCUUUCUUUCAUCUCUGCUGAGAUAUACUACCUGUAAAAUAUAAUUCCCUGAGAAUUCCAGGCUAUCCAGAAGAAUCGGCACCCU